rnacentral:rRNA from 1 species
GACGAACGCUGGCGGCGUGCUUAACACAUGCAAGUCGAACGGAAAGGUCUCUUCGGAGAUACUCGAGUGGCGAACGGGUGAGUAACACGUGGGUGAUCUGCCCUGCACUUCGGGAUAAGCCUGGGAAACUGGGUCUAAUACCGGAUAGGACCACGGGAUGCAUGUCUUGUGGUGGA